rnacentral:rRNA from 1 species
UACUGGUAAUCGUCGCGGCCACGCCGUUAAACCCCAACUUCUGAAUGUUGACCUCGGAUC